rnacentral:rRNA from 1 species
UCGGGAAUUUUGUGCAAUGGGCGAAAGCCUGACACAGCAACGCCGCGUGAAGGAUGAAGUCCCUCGGGAUGUAAACUUCGUAAGAAUAGGAAGAAUAAAUGACGGUACUAUUUGUAAGGUCCGGCUAACUACGUGCCAGCAGCCGCGGUAAUACGUAGGGACCAAGCGUUGUUCGGAUUUACUGGGCGUAAAGGGCGCGUAGGCGGCAUGACAAGUCACUUGUGAAAUCUCUGGGCUUAACCCAGAACGGCCAAGUGAUACUGUCGCGCUAGAGUGCAGAAGGGGCAAUCGGAAUUCUUGGUGUAGCGGUGAAAUGCGUAGAUAUCAAGAGGAACACCUGAGGUGAAGACGGGUUGCUGGGCUGACACUGACGCUGAGGCGCGAAAGCCAGGGGAGCAAACGGGAUUAGAUACCCUCGUAGUCCCUGAGCGGGCUGGCAAGGCGCAU